UACGUAGGGUCCGAGCGUUGCCCGGAAUUAUUGGGCGUAAAGGGCUCGUAGGCGGUCCGUCACGUCGGGAGUGAAAACUCAGGGCUCAACCCUGAGCGUGCUUCCGAUACGGGCGGACUAGAGGUAUGCAGGGGAGAACGGAAUUCCUGGUGUAGCGGUGGAAUGCGCAGAUAUCAGGAGGAACACCGGUGGCGAAGGCGGUUCUCUGGGCAUUACCUGACGCUGAGGAGCGAAAGCUAGGGGAGCAAACGGG
rnacentral:rRNA from 1 species